rnacentral:rRNA from 1 species
AUUGAACGCUGGCGGCAGGCCUAACACAUGCAAGUCGAGCGGAUGAAGGGAGCUUGCUCCUGGAUUCAGCGGCGGACGGGUGAGUAAUGCCUAGGAAUCUGCCUGGUAGUGGGGGAUAACGUCCGGAAACGGGCGCUAAUACCGCAUACGUCCUGAGGGAGAAAGUGGGGGUUUUUCGGCCCUCCCGCUAUCGAUUAACCUAGGUCGGAUUAGCUAGUUGGUGGGGUAAAGGCCUACCAAGGCGACGAUCCGUAACUGGUCUGAGAGGAUGAUCAGUCACACUGGAACUGAGACACGGUCCAGACUCCUACGGGAGGCAGCAGUGGGGAAUAUUGGACAAUGGGCGAAAGCCUGAUCCAGCCAUGCCGCGUGUGUGAAUAAGGUCUUCGGAUUGUAAAGCACUUUAAGUUGGGAGGAAGGGCAGUAAGUUAAUACCUUGCUGUUUUGACGUUACCAACAGAAUAAGCACCGGCUAACUUCGUG